rnacentral:rRNA from 1 species
UCUACGGGAGGCAGCAGUGGGGAAUAUUGGACAAUGGGGGAAACCCUGAUCCAGCGACGCCGCGUGAGUGAAGAAGUCUUUCGGUACGUAAAGCUCUAUCAGCAGGAAAGAAAAUGACGGUACCUGACUAAGAAGCCCCGGCUAACUACGUGCCAGCAGCCGCGGUAAUACGUCGGGGGCAAGCGUUAUCCGGAUUUACUGGGUGUUAAGGGGGCGUAGGCGGCAGCGCAAGUCUGGAGUGAAAUGCCGGGGCGCAACCCCGGAACUGCUCCUGAAACUGUGAAGCUUGAGUGCAGGAGAGGUAAGCGGAAUUCCUGGUGUAGCGGUGAAAUGCGUAGAUAUCAGGAGGAACACCGGCGGCGAAGGCGGCUUACUGGACUGUAACUGACGUUGAGGCUCGAAGGCGUGGGGAGCAAACAGGAUUAGAUACCCCGGUAGUC